AUAGGAAUGAAAUGUUAUAACCGAUAAUUGCGUAACAUUUUGGAGUCUGUUUAAUCCUUUGAGAAUAAUUUUACUUAUUUGAAUAUUAUUCCCUAAGAGUAAUAUACUUUAAAAAAUCCCCAAAUUUUAGAGCUUUUGUUGUUCCAGAGUAAUAUGAUUUUCUAAUAAAUAUGCCUUUAUUUUUAUUAUUUGUCUGAUUUUAGGUAAGAGAAUCUACAUGUUAUCAACAGUGGUUGCUGUGGUUUCCCAAGGAUAGAAUGGCAUCUGCUCACCAGAGUUCACAUGAUGACUGAGCAGUGUACAUUCUGCAGCAUGUAGGCAUUGGAUCGGAGCGACAGGUCCCAGGAUGCUCUACGUUGGACACGCUGCGACAUCUGCCAGGUCUGUGGUCCUGCUCUUUGACACGGGACAGAAAAUCCAACUCAACCGAUCUGGAGCUGAAGAUGAGAUGGAUCCUACUCAAGACACAGGGAUAAGAGGGAUCUAUUUUCAAAGGAAACAAGACAGUCUUAGCAAAAGAAGAGAAAUGGAGGCGACUUUUUGGCAAAUACUGCAUCUUCAGCCAGGAGAAGUGUGGAAUUGCUGCAUUCUGUGGUAUGGAGAACCCUCCAUACUGUUCUCUACAGUAGGCUGCACCAACUCACAUUCCCACGAACAAGGUAAGAGGGCCCCUUUUCUCUGCAUCCUUGCCAUCAUUUGUUAUUUGUGCUCAUUUUGAUGAAAGCCCUUCUGCCAGGUGUGAGUUGAUAGCUCGAUGUGGUUUUGAUUUGCGUUUCCCUGAUGAUUAACAAUGUUGAGCAUCUUUUCAUGUGCCUGCUGGCCAUCUGCAUUUCCUCUUGGGAGAAAUGUCUAUUCAGGUCUUCCACUCAUUUUUCAAUCUGGUUGUUUGCUUAUUUGAUGCUGAGUUAUAUGAGCUGUUUGUGUAUUUUGGAUAUUAACCCCUUGUUUAUCAUAGCAUUGCAAAUAUUUUCUCCCAUUCAGUAGGUUGUCUUUUCAUUUUGUUGCUGGUUUUCUUUGCUGUACAAAGACUUUUAAGUUUAACUAGGUCCUACUUGUUUAUUUUUGCUUUUCUUCCCUUUACCAUAGGAGAUAUAGUUCAAAGAAUAUUGCUACAAUUUAUGUCAGAGUGUUCUGCCUAUGUUUUCUUCUAGGAGUUUUAUGGUGUAUGGUAUUACAUUUAGUUCUUUAACAUUUUGAGUUUAUUUCUAUGUAUGGAGCUAGGGAAUUAUCUCAUUUCAUUCUUCUACAUGUAGCUAUCUAGUUUUCCCAGUGCCAUUUAUUAAAGAGACUCUCUUUUCUCCAUUGUAUACUCUUUCCUCCUUUGUCAUAAAUUAAUUGACCAUAAAUAUGUGGGUUUGUUUCUGGGCUCUUUAUCCUGUUCCAUUGAUCUAUGUGUUUGUUUUUAUGCCAGUACUAUGCUGUUUUGGUUACUGUAACUUUAUAGUAUAGUCUGAAGUCAGGGAAUGUGAUUCUUCCCAUUCUGGUCUUCUUUCUCUAGAUUGUUUUGGCUAUUCAGGGUCCAUUGUAUUUCCAUACACAUUUUAAGAUUUGGAGGUUAUUAUGCUGAGUGAAAUAAGUCAGACAAAGACAACUACUUUAUGAUAUCACUUAUAUAUAGACUCUAAGAAAUACAACAAACUAAUGAAAAUAAUAAAAAAGAAACUCAGAGAACAAUCCAGUGGUUACCAGUGGGGAGAAGGUAAUAGAGGGGUAGGGGAAUAAGAGGUACAAACUAUUAUAUAUAUAAUAAGCUACAAUGAUAUUUGACACAGGAAUAUGUGACCCAAUAUUUUAUAAUAACUGUAAAUGUUGGCGUAUAAACUUUAAAAUUGAGUUAUGCAGAUGUAACUAUAGCUAUCCAGGUAUAACUGUAAUUUAUACCUGUAAUUUAUGUAAUAUUAUAUAUCAACUAUACUUCAAUAUAAAAAAUAGAAAGCUCAGAAGAGCCUGACCAAAGUUUGGUCAGGGAGAGAAUUUUUCCAUUCUACAGAAUAUGGUAUGAUCUGCCAUUUCAUUUUUUGAAUAAAACAGGUUAGACAUUCUCCUGCCAUAUUAGAUAUUUCUCUUUACCUUGGAACUGAGAGUAAAGUAUGCAUGUAGGAGGUGUUCUGGAUUGCCUAUUAGAGAAAAACCUCUCCAUGGUAUAUAUUGUGCUUGCAUUUUGAACAUCCACAAAACAGUAAUUACCAUUUUUACAUGCUCCUGAUUUGUCAAAUAGUAACUAGAAGACUUUCAUACAUACACUUGUGAGUUCCAUUCAACUACUCCAAGGGAAUAUGUGCAGCAACCAUCAGUAAAAAACAAUAUGGAUGUCAUAUUGAUCCAUUUAGAAUUCACCACAGACAUCCCCUAAAACUAUUAAACCCAGAAAAGAUCUGCUAACAUUCAUUACAAUACCACAACCAACCCCACCCCUCAUAAUCUGUGAACCAAGCCAUCACUUGGUGAGAUCUUACAGCACUUCCUCAUCACUAGUCACUGAAUUUUAUUAAUAGCUUUAAAUACUGAUAGAAGAGAAUAACUUGAAAAUAAAUUAGGUGUGCCUUCUUGUUUUGAGAUGGAAAAAAGAAUCACAUUUUGAUAAACUUUGUUUAUAACAUUGUGUUCAAAUAUAUUAAAGUAUGUGAAGAUUGUUCUUAACCAGCAGAUGGAUUUGGGAGAGAGUGUUGAUUACUGCUUGGGAGUCCAUCUCGGAAACAGACUCUAGGUUUGAGUCCUGGUUCUGUCACCUAUUAGCUGUGUGACCUGUUGUGUGUUCUGAGCAAGAUACUUAGCCCUUCUGCCUCCAUUUUCUCAUCUAUAAAGUGGGGGUGUUAAUGUAACUAUUUAAUUGGUUGCUUAGAGAAUUAUAUUGCCUAGCACAUGUAAAAUACUUAGACUAGUACUUGGCACGUGGCUCUCAGGUUAACCUCUAAUCUUGUUCUUUCAGCAGUUUGGUUUCCACUGAUGGGUCCUUUCAUUUUUACUUGCAAUUCCUACUUCUGACGUGCAAUAACUAUGAAUGUAGGCACAGUUGACAUGAGAUUCAAAGUCAGGCUCUUGCUUGUGCAAUCUUUGGCAAGGCACUCAAUUUCUUUUCCUUCAUCUAUGAAAUGGGAAUAAAAAUAAUUACCUUAUAAGAUCAUUAUGGUAAUGAAAUUAGGUAAUGUGAAUAAGGCACUAGACACAACACCUAAAACACAGGAAAUGCUCAAUAAGUGGCAACUAUAGUCUUUAUGAGCCCAUAUAGGCAGCGUUGUUUCAAGGCAUGGAUGAUGAUCUGAGAAUCUGGAGAGCCAGCCUCCUGUCUGGGUUCAUAAUCUCGUUGAUAUGGGGUAAGUGGAUCCAAUGCCUUGCCGCUCACAUAGAGGAGUUUCCCUGGCGGUUCACUGGGCUAAGGAUCCAACGUUGCCACUGCUACAAUGAGGAUGUGAUCACUGGCUUGAGAACUUCUAAAUGUUGUGGGCCCAGCCAAAAAUAACUAAGUAAAUAAACAAAAUGUACAUAGAAGGUUCUCCUUUACUCAAAUCCAUCAGCUCUUCUCAUUUGCUGCCCAAAUUUGUGAACAUUUAGAAUAGGCACCAAAAGAGUGCAAAGAAAGGAUCCUUAGAGUGCUCCUGCAGUAAACUGAGCAGGCAGAACAUGAUAAGAAAAACUGAGCAGGAAACCAAAGUGGAAGAGGAGCCAUGACAGUAAUCAGAAGGCAGAGAACAUAAGGAACGUGCUGCCCGCCUCUGACAGCCUUCUCUUGGCUCAGGAAAGAAUCACAGGAAGAGGGCUUCUAAGAGGAAAGGGAACACUUAUUUAAUGGAAGGUUGGGAUG
rnacentral:lncRNA from 1 species